rnacentral:misc_RNA from 1 species
CGCCCCUACCUAAAACAUGCAAGACUAUCUAAAUUAUUGGGGAAAUAAUAAAUGAUUGGAUGUAAGAGUCAAAACUUACUAUAAAAUAAAACCUUAAAGAAUACACACGACCUCCAUAUGCAAAUUAAGACAAUAAAUGGAGGGCACACGAUUAAUCAAAAUUAAGAUAAUGCAAGGAACUACAUGACUAUUAAAGCUUUGCCAUGUCUAAAUGAUUAAAGCAUAUUUUCCUUCUUGCCAAUGCAGAUUCAUCUUGUAUAUGCAAAUACCAUACAAAAUUGCAACCACUAGGUACUACAAGGCCUCCACCUUUAUAUAGGUUUGCUCGUAUGAUUAGAGCACGUUGCUGGACAGCUCAAGUACUAAUUACACAUUCUUUAUGGCUGCAGUCAUAGGUCUACAAACUACAAAGCUCAUGAACAACUGAUCAUCUUACUUCCCAGCUUGCUGUCAAUUUGGUUGAGUGUCUUACUAUUAUUACAUUGACAACACUUCACGUUCCAACUUCAAAUCAUCAAGAAAAGAAAAUUGUUACUGACAUCCAAUUGCUCCAUAAAUUUAAGUAUUAAAGAAAAUCAAGACACCAAAAUGUAAAAGAAGGGCACAUGCAUCAUUGAUAACAUUCUCUAAAAUAUAGCUUAUAUAUAGAGGAAAUAGGGUGGUAAUUUCAAAUGUAGGAUAGCUGUUGUUCACAGUGAAAUAACAUAUAUCAGAACAGUUUUGUCAUUUUUCCAAAACUUAAAUCACCACCAUCAGUACAUCUGCAUCUGCUAGCCAUAAAGGACACAUCAAGUCUAAUGAACAUAUACCAAAUUGGUCUUGGCCUCCUGGUCAAAAGCCCUUUUUGCCGCUAUAAAAAAAAAAAAAGAAGAAAAUUAUCCAAAACUAUUACUGCAUUCAACAAUCAGUGCUGAACUAUUUGACUCAUUAAUCACAGUGAAGCAUAUACAAGAAGUCAUAUUUAGCUCUUCAAUCUAUAUUGCAUUACUCAUAUAUGCACGUUACAAAGAGGCUUCUCAAAGAAUAUCUUUUGAAAGGCAAUAAAUGGAAAAGACAGGAACCUUAAAUAAGCCCCUCGAGACAAUCAAAGUGAAACUCUAAGCAAAGUGGUUGAAUGAUUCCCAGCUCCAUAAAGUUCAUAAUC